ensembl:misc_RNA Metazoa_SRP Metazoan signal recognition particle RNA
GCCGGGCGUGGUGGCGUGUGCCUGUAAUCCCAGCUACUCAGGAGGCUGAGGCAGGAGAAUCGCUUGAACCUGGGAGGCGGAGGUUGCAGUGGGUGAGCCGAGAUCUCACCACUGCACUGCAGCCUGGGCGACAGGGUGAGACCCCGUCUCAA